GACGUAGGGCGCGAGCGUUGUCCGGAUUUAUUGGGCGUAAAGAGCUCGUAGGCGGCUUGUCGCGUCGAAUGUGAAAUCUCAGGGCUCAACUCUGACAUUGCAUUCGAUACGGGCAGGCUAGAGUUCGGUAGGGGAGACUGGAAUUCCUGGUGUAGCGGUGAAAUGCGCAGAUAUCAGGAGGAACACCGAUGCGAAGGCGGGU
rnacentral:rRNA from 1 species